GCCAUUCCUAGCAUUUCUGCUUUUAAGUUCCUCAUUGCUGCUUCCUAUUUCACCAUCAUGAACACCAUUCAUAUGCUCCUCUUCACUAAGGGUCUCAUGGGCACCGUUUGCAAUCUCUCCCUCAAUGGGACUAUCCUGGGCACCAUUUACAUGCUUCCCUUCAACAGAAUCAGAAAUGGAAAAAGUAACAGUGUGAUCUUUAGCUGAAUCAACAACACUAUUUUCUGAAUUCUUUGCAUUCCUGUUGACCUUAUCCUCAGCCAAAGUUUUCCUGCUGGUCGCAACAUCAUCCUCAGUAAAGCCCUUUAAAAGGCGAGGCCCACGCCGCUUAUGGUUAAUGAUAUAUGGUGAAGGAGGGAAUGAAGAUGGUGAAUCAGGAAGUGGGGUUGUUUCAGGAGUAGCAUAGAGUGCUGGAGAUAUCUGAGGACGGCUAACUUUCCUUUCUGUGGCUGAUGUACUAUUUUUUCUCUCCAGAGUUGAAUUAGGCACAGGUCUCGUUUUUGGAAGAAACUUUGAUUUCGUAACAGGGUUUGAACUAGGAACAGUCUUGUCAACAGAUUUAGAAGCUCCAGGUU
rnacentral:misc_RNA from 1 species